CUCCGGGUAACCAGGCUAGUGGCUUCCAGCUCCCGUAACCGUGGCCGGCUCGCCCUGGCCCCACUUGUUUUGCAGGUGUGUUGGGACAACCUCAGCAGUGCUGCAGAAUUCCCGAAGUGGCACCAGCUUGGUGGCUUCAUCCAGCACAAGGAAACCUGGCAAAGCUGUGACUGCCUGGUGACGCGCUACAAGGGGAGAGCCAACAACUUUCUGUGCCAGACCAAGGCCUUUCUGGAGAACCCACAGGCUCCAAUUAAAGAAGCGGCCAUCAGUUUCAUAGGGCUCACUGCCCGGCAGCUGGACCAGAGGAGCCAGGACAAGCUGGAUGUCAUCUGCAACGGUGAGUGGUACCUGCUUUGAGCACUGAGCGCUAGGGGGAUGAACGGCCCAGGGCCAUGGGCUGGGUUCAAUCUCCAAUGCCAGCAAC